AUGUGUCCUUUUGGGCAUCUCCAAAUGUUCUUUUGGGAAUCUCCAAGUGUGAUUUUGGAGAGCCCAAAGUGGCAUUUUGGGUAUCUACAGGGUCCUUUUGGGCAUAUCCACGUAUCAUUUUGGGCAUCUCCAAGUGUCCUUUUGGGCAUCUCCAGGAUCCUUUCAGAGAUCUCCAAGUGUCCUUUUGGGCAUCGCCAAGUGUCCUUUUGGGCAUCGCCAAGUGUCCUAUUGGGCAUCUCCAGGGUCCUUUUGGAGAUCUCCAGGUGUCAUUUUUGGAAUCUCCAAGUGUCACAUUUUUGGCAUCUCCAGGGUCCUUGUGGGCAUCUCCAAGUGUCUUUUUUGGCAUCUCCAAGUGUCUGUUUAGGCAUGUUCCAGUGUCCUUUUGGGCAUCUACGGGGUCUUUUGGGAGAUCUCCAAGUGUCAUUUUUGGCAUCUCCAAGUGUUUUUUUGGGCAUCUCCAAGCGUCCUUUUGGGCAUCUCCACGGUCAUUUUUGAGAUCACUAAGUGUCCUUUUGGGCAUUUCAAAAUGUCUUUUUGGGCAUCUACAGGGCCUUUUGGGCAUCUCCAAGUGUACCUUUGGGCAUCUCCAUGGUCUUUUUGGAGAUCACCAAGUGUCUUUUUGGGCAUCUUCAGGUGUUCUUUUGGCAUCUGCAAGUGUCCUUUUGGGCAGCCAGUGUAAACGACCCCAAAAGCUCAACAGAGACUUACCAACGAGGUAAAGAAACAAUCCUGAGUGACAGACAGAAACA
rnacentral:lncRNA from 1 species